GGCUCAGGAUGAACGCUAGCGAUAGGCUUAACACAUGCAAGUCGAGGGGCAGCACGGUGUAGCAAUACACUGGUGGCGACCGGCGUACGGGUGCGUAACACGUAUGCAACCUACCCGCUAGUUGGGGGAUAACCCGGCGAAAGUCGGACUAAUACCCCAUAUUAUUCUUACCGGGCAUCCGGUAGGUCUGAAAGAUUUAUCGAUUGCGGAUGGGCAUGCGGAUGAUUAGCUAGUAGGUGGGGUAACGGCUCACCUAGGCGACGAUCAUUAGGGGUUCUGAGAGGAAGGUCCCCCACACUGGAACUGAGACACGGUCCAGACUCCUACGGGAGGCAGCAGUGAGGAAUAUUGGUCAAUGGGCGCUAGCCUGAACCAGCCAAGUCGCGUGAAGGAUGACAGAAUCUAUGGUUUGUAAACUUCUUUUGCAGGGGAGUAAAGUGCGACACGUGUGUUGUAUUGCAAGUACCCUGCGAAUAAGCAUCGGCUAACUCCGUGCCAGCAGCAGC
rnacentral:rRNA from 1 species